UACGAAGGGGGCUAGCGUUGUUCGGAAUUACUGGGCGUAAAGCGCGUGUAGGCGGGUCUUUAAGUCAGGGGUGAAAUGCCAAGGCUCAACCUUGGAACUGCCUUUGAUACUGGAGACCUUGAGUCCGGGAGAGGUGAGUGGAAUUGCGAGUGUAGAGGUGAAAUUCGUAGAUAUUCGCAAGAACACCAGUGGCGAAGGCGGCUCACUGGCCCAGAACUGACGCUGAGACGCGAAGGCGUGGGGAGCGAACGGG
rnacentral:rRNA from 1 species